UACGGGGGGAGCAAGCGUUGUUCGGAUUUACUGGGCGUAAAGGGCGCGUAGGCGGUCUUGUCAGUCCCUUGUGAAAUCCCCCGGCUCAACUGGGGAACUGCACGGGAAACAGCAGGGCUUGAGUUCGGGAGAGGGAAGCGGAAUUCCGGGUGUAGCGGUGAAAUGCGUAGAUAUCCGGAGGAACACCGGUGGCGAAGGCGGCUUCCUGGACCGAUACUGACGCUGAGGCGCGAAAGCUAGGGGAGCAAACGGG
rnacentral:rRNA from 1 species